rnacentral:rRNA from 1 species
AUUGAACGCUGGCGGCAUGCUUUACACAUGCAAGUCGAACGGCAGCGGGGUAGUGCUUGCACUACUGCCGGCGAGUGGCGAACGGGUGAGUAAUAUAUCGGAACGUACCGAGUAAUGGGGGAUAACCAAUCGAAAGAUUGGCUAAUACCGCAUACGCCCUGAGGGAGAAAGCGGGGGAUCGCAAGACCUCGCGUUAUUCGAGCGGCCGAUAACUGAUUAGCUAGUUGGUGGGGUAAAGGCCUACCAAGGCGACGAUCAGUAGCGGGUCUGAGAGGACGAUCCGCCACACUGGGACUGAGACACGGCCCAGACUCCUACGGGAGGCAGCAGUGGGGAAUUUUGGACAAUGGGGGCAACCCUGAUCCAGCCAUGCCGCGUGUAUGAAGAAGGCCUUCGGGUUGUAAAGUACUUUUGUUAGGGAAGAAAAGGGAAGUGCUAAUACCACUUUUUGCUGACGGUACCUAAAGAAUAAGCACCGGCUAACUACGUG